UACGAAGGGUGCAAACGUUGCGCGGAAUUACUGGGCGUAAAGGGCUCGUAGGCGGCCAACUAAGUCGGAUGUGAAAUCCCCAGGCUUAACCUGGGAACUGCAUCCGAUACUGGAUGGCUUGAAUCCGGGAGAGGGAUGCAGAAUUCCAGGUGUAGCGGUGAAAUGCGUAGAUAUCUGGAGGAAUACCGGUGGCGAAGGCGGCAUCCUGGACCGGCAUUGACGCUGAGGAGCGAAAGCUAGGGGAGCAAACGGG
rnacentral:rRNA from 1 species